UUCAAAAAAAAAUACCAUCAAUUGAUACUAUUUGAAGGUGCGCUUUAUUUUGAUUAUUCAGGGCCUCAGCCUUAUACAAAUCAGGGUACAAAAUAUAUACCACAACAAUAAAUAAAAUAAAAAUAUUUAUUUAAAUACAAAGAAUAAGAGAAAUUUAUUUAGAUACAAAAAUAAGAAAAAGGAAAGAAGAGGACAAGAAGAAAAGAAAAGAAUUCAUCCACUAUGCACAAAAACUAGAUGAAACAAAAUCAUGUACACCCAAGUUUGUUGAGGGAGCUGAGGUCCUCGAAACUCCAGUCACGCCUGCAAGCGCCAGACCGCAAGAGCUGCGGUUCGACCUUGACAGGCGAGGCCUCUACCUCUCCAGUGCUACCCGUCGUCGAGGUCUGGCAAUGGUAGGUUGGCCCCAAACUCUUUGAUAUCUCAUAGGGCCCCAACACCUUCUCUAUGCGUUGAUAGUGCAUGUCCAUGUCGGACUCGCGCCUCCUUGGAGAACCACACGUCAGGCACGAGAGGCUCAUCUCAAUGGGACCUUGAACCUUGAAAAUUUGUCCAAUUUUUUGUGAUCAAAAUUUCAUUUUUGUGGGGAUGGGGAUUCAAAUAAGCGAGUAGAAAUGUGGAGCAGGGAUGAGGAAUGGAUUAGAGGGUUCUUGAAUGUUAUAUAUAUGUGGUAGUGAGAAAUUGGUUCGUAAAAAAUUGAAAAUUUGAGCUGGACAAAAAGUUGUUGGAUAAACUUAGAGGAGGGAGGAUGAUCCAUGGAUGCGCGAGAGCAUAGCAGAGCAG
rnacentral:lncRNA from 1 species